CUAUAAUAAUUUACAGGGAACUUAUGAGAAAUAGAUGAGAAAAAUAUAUGAAGAGCACCUAGCAGAAUAUCAGAUUCAUUGUGAGUGCUCACCUUUACAGCCUCUUUCUCCUUUUUUACCCAACAAAAACCAUGCUGCAGAAACUGUGAAGAUCUGUGAUUAAGGUAUUUUAGAACACGACUUUAGAAGCCAAUCUGAAAUCAUGGACAUUACUAAUGGAAGAUAAAUGUUCUAAUUGGUUAUAUGCAAGCAGGAAAAAUGGAGGACAUUUACUGGAUUGCCUGGACUUUCUCAAAUAACUAAACAAACUUAUUGAAGGCUUGUUUAGAAGUGAUUCAAAUAAUUCAAACUUUGAAAUGAUGUCACGUUCUAAAGACGGUCCCAGGGUUCAGUAUGCCCUGCCAUCAGCACACCCUCAUCUGACUGCUGUGGGAGCAGCUGCAUUAUCUGCAUUUGGCCAAGUAAGCAAACUCUGCACCGUGUCACAGUGUUUGUUGUUUGCUAAUGGGCUAGUGGUUAAAAACCGCUUAAAAACUCUAAUUACACAUUUUCAGAUAAUGCAGAGGUGGCAUAUGGUUGGCUUCAUUACUUGAAGAUAUACACAUACAGACUUUACUUGUAUACUUUGUCUGGUGCAUAGUAGCUAUUCAAUAAAUGCUUUAUAAAUGCCUGAAAAUG